rnacentral:rRNA from 1 species
GUUGAACGCUGGCGGCAGGCCUAACACAUGCAAGUCGAGCGGAGCGGCGAAAGGGGGGUUAAUGCCUAGUAAUCUGCCUGGUAGUGAGGGAUAACGCCCGGGAACGGACCCUAAUACCGCAUACUAGCAGAUGAGCCUAGGUCGGCUUAGCUAGGUGGUUGGGUAAAGGACUACCAAGGCGACGAUCCGUAACUGGUCUGAGAGGAUUAUCCGUCACACUGGAACGUAGAAACGGUCCAGACUCCUACGGGAGGCAGCAGUGGGGAAUAUUGGACAAUGGGCGAAAGCCUGACCCAGCCACGCCGCGUGUGUGAAGAAGGUUUUCGGAUUGUAAAGCACUUUAAGUAGGGAGGCGUUACCAACAGAAUAAGCACCGGCUAACUCCGUGCCAGCAGCCGCGGUAAUAC